AGAGUUCGAUUAUGGCUCAGGAUGAACGCUGGCGGCGUGCUUAACACAUGCAAGUCGAACGAACCUUCGGGUUAGUGGCGGACGGGUGAGUAACGCGUGAGAAUCUGCCCUCAGGAGGGGGAUAACGGUUGGAAACGACCGCUAAUACCCCAUAUGCCUACUGGUGAAAUGAAUUUCGCCUGAGGAUGAGCUCGCGUCUGAUUAGCUAGUUGGUGAGGUAAUGGCUCACCAAGGCUUCGAUCAGUAGCUGGUCUGAGAGGAUGAUCAGCCACACUGGGACUGAGACACGGCCCAGACUCCUACGGGAGGCAGCAGUGGGGAAUUUUCCGCAAUGGGCGAAAGCCUGACGGAGCAACGCCGCGUGAGGGACGAAGGCCUCUGGGCUGUAAACCCCUUUUCUCAAGGAAGAAGAUAUGACGGUACUUGAGGAAUAAGCCACGGCUAAUUCCGUGCCAGCCGCCGCGGUAAUAC
rnacentral:rRNA from 1 species